AAAUAUUGAUAUAUAAUUUCCCUGUUUUUUAUAUAAAAUACUAUAUGAAUUUAAGAAUUUUGAGAUUUCAGUAACUUUUCGAGAUUCAAAAUUUCGUGUGGGGAAAUUAAAACAUUUUAAAUAGUCCGCGCGACAGCGCCAGUAGUUUAACGAUCCGCCGAACAGUGUCGCCACGGACGGUCGUAUCAAGAUGGCGGCAGUAGUUCACGUUUGACGGAUGCCGUUGGUCGCAUGGAAAUUCGGGGCACACCCUGAGCGUUAAAUUGUACAAAGUGUGAUAUCGUCAGGCCGAAUGUUCGAUCAUCGUGAAAUCUUCGUAUAAAGAACUCGCUGGCAAUCCUGGAACUAGAUAACACGACAACUUGCGCAUACGUGUUAUCAUCGAAGAUUCGUCCGAAGGCUAUCUUCGAUUCCAGUUUCUGCGAUUCCCGUUUUAUCCCCCCGAUCUACUAUCUUGGCCUUGAACCGGACUCUUAGUGCCCUACUGUAACGAUUAUGGCGUGAAGGAGCUUUCGAAUUUUGAAAUCCGCAACCGCUUGUCGAAACAGAGAGAAUGAGAAAUUCUUAAAAGAGGUAUCCUGUCGGCCGAUGUUGAAAAUACGUCAAGACACCUGGUAUACGGGCAAACCGUUACCUGUUUCAUCGACGUGAAAAGGUUCAAUCUAUCCUCGUCCACGUAGCCGAUUUUUCCCCUGAGCUUAGAGAACACCACGUAGCGGCACUCGAAUCGCUUAUGGCAUCGUUCGUCAGUAGAGUGCGACGGGAUCGAAGACAACACGGCGUUGUCAAAAGAAAUGGAUAUCAUUGUCAGUGGUCGAAACUCAUCGUGACUCUAUCGAUCGUCGCUAAUCCUUGCUUUUACUUCUUACGGUAUACUCUACUUUUCCGUCUUCCUCGCGAUAAAUCUCCAUUAUCGUACAGACCCGGUGCAAGAGAAAACUUCAUUGUAAAAAGUGGAGCGCCAUCCUCGUCCUGUUAUAAACAGCACGUUCGUUCCAGCAAUGAUUAAUUGCAAACGAUGAGAUCAUUCGAGUAGGUGAUCCUCUAGCGACCAUGGGCAGCGCACGUAUCAAUUUGGCUCGAUGAGAGAGCACAAGGAUACUUUUGGAUCACGAAAGCACUCUUAUCGUUUCAAGAUGAGUCGAAUCGACCGCGUGGCCGAGCUGGUAUCGUCGAUACGAAUGCAAUAAAAGGCACUUGGCCAUGGAACAGGCAGCUGCUGCAUUCUCAGUUCAUGCAUUGCAUCUGCAACGAACUGAUUGUAUUUCUUUUCUGCAUCGGUGUCCCAUGCGAUUGUUUCGCAUCUGUAAGAAAUUUCUACAGGGUCUUCAAUUUUAUCAAUUCCACUGUUGCGUGAUUCGUUGAUUUUCUACUUUGAAUGCUAAU